rnacentral:rRNA from 1 species
GGGGAAUAUUGCGCAAUGGGGGAAACCCUGACGCAGCAACGCCGCGUGAGUGAAGAAGGUUUUCGGAUCGUAAAACUCUGUCAUCGGGGACGAAUAAAGUGACGGUACCCGAGGAGGAAGCCCCGGCUAACUACGUGCCAGCAGCCGCGGUAAUACGUAGGGGGCGAGCGUUGUCCGGAAUUACUGGGCGUAAAGGGUGCGUAGGCGGCCAAUUAAGUCAGAUGUGAAAUACCACGGCUCAACUGUGGGGUUGCAUUUGAAACUGGUAGGCUUGAGUGCAGGAGAGGAAAGUGGAAUUCCUAGUGUAGCGGUGAAAUGCGUAGAGAUUAGGAAGAACACCAGUGGCGAAGGCGGCUUUCUGGACUGUAACUGACGCUGAGGCACGAAAGCGUGGGGAGCGAAC